rnacentral:rRNA from 1 species
AACGAACGCUGGCGGCAUGCCUAACACAUGCCAGUCGAACGAGACCUUCGGGUCUAGUGGCGCACGGGUGCGUAACGCGUGGGAACCUGCCCUUAGGUUCGGAAUAACUCCCCGAAAGGGGUGCUAAUACCGGCUAAUGUCUUCGGACCAAAGAUUUAUCGCCGUUGGAUGGGCCCGCGUUGGAUUAGCUAGUUGGUAGGGUAAAAGCCUACCAAGGCGACGAUCCAUAGCUGGUCUGAGAGGAUGAUCAGCCACUCUGGGACUGAGACACGGCCCAGACUCUUACGCGAGGCAGCAGUGGGGAAUACUGGACAAUGGGCGAAAGCCUGAUCCAGCAAUGCUGCGUGAGUGAUGAAGGCCGUAGGGUUGUAAAGCUCUUUUACCCGGGAUGAUAAUGACAGUACCGGGAGAAUAAGCUCCGGCUAACUCCGUG